GCUGUGUCAUGCAAGAAGGAGGCGGCGGCGGCGGCCGGAGCUGGAGGGGGAGGAGGGGAGGAACCUGAUCCUCGGUAGCGAAGGGCUGGAGGCAAACACCGAGCUCCCCCUGAGCCGCCUGGGAGCAGGGAGGGUUCUGCUACCCUGAGGGGCCCUCCCCGCGGGGCAGAGGGUGGGAGGAAGUCACAGCAUCUACUUCUGAAUCUGUGCUUGCCUUGAGGAAAAACGGCAUGGCACAGGAAUGUGGACGCUUUCAACCAGAGGAUUCUGUACGACGGUGUCGGCACACACUCAUCCUCGUCUACGGCCAAACGUUGGUUUCUCAUUUCUAGAAGAUGAAAGAUGUGAUGACUCAGGAAAAACUUGCUGCUCGAGAUGUGAGUCUUCAGAUGUUCCUGCCGCCAUAUCUGACAGCUGCUGCCAAGAUUCCCUGGUGGGAUGGACUCUUAUACCUCAACAACCAGAAGCCCAAGUAAACUCUUCUAUAAAUUGAAUGACUCAUGCUUAAAAAAAAAAACAAAAAACAAACUAUCUUUAUUUUGUG
rnacentral:lncRNA from 1 species